AAGCGGUGGAUCUAUGUUGUUAAUUCGAUGAUACGCGAAGAACCUUACCAGGUCUUGACAUCCCCGCAAUGCUUUAGAGAUAAAGCGGAGGUAUCCGGGGAGACGAGGUGGUGCAUGGUUGUCGUCAGCUCGUGUCGUGAGAUGUUGGGUUAAGUCCCGCAACGAGCGCAACCCUUAUUGCUAGUUACCAUCAUUGAGUUGGGGACUCUAGCGAGACUGCCAGCGAUAAGCUGGAGGAAGGUGGGGAUGACGUCAAGUCCUCAUGGCCUUUAUGACCAGGGCUACACACGUACUACAAUGGCCGGUACAAAGGGCAGCCACUUAGCGAUAAGGAGCCAAUCCCGUAAAGCCGGUCUCAGUCCGGAUUGGAGUCUGCAACUCGACUCCAUGAAGUUGGAAUCGCUAGUAAUCGCAGAUCAGCACGCUGCGGUGAAUACGUUCCCGGGCCUU
rnacentral:rRNA from 1 species